GGGGGGAUAUUGCACAAUGGGCGAAAGCCUGAUGCAGCGACGCCGCGUGGGGGAUGAAGGCCUUCGGGUUGUAAACUUCUUUUGCUCUGAACAAGGCGCACCAUGGGGUGUGUUGAGUGUAGGGGUUGAUUAGCGCCGGCUAACUACGUGCCAGCAGCCGCGGUAAUACGUAGGGCGCGAGCGUUGUCCGGAAUUAUUGGGCGUAAAGGGCUUGUAGGUGGCUGGUUGCGUCUGUCGUGAAAGCUCAUGGCUUAACUGUGGGUUUGCGGUGGGUACGGGCUGGCUUGAGUGCAGUAGGGGAGGCUGGAAUUCCUGGUGUAGCGGUGGAAUGCGCAGAUAUCAGGAGGAAUACCGGUGGCGAAGGCGGGGCUCUGGGCUGUUACUGACACUGAGGAGCGAAAGCAUGGGGAGCGAACAGG
rnacentral:rRNA from 1 species